rnacentral:rRNA from 1 species
AGCGAACGCUGGCGGCAGGCUUAACACAUGCAAGUCGAGCGGGCACUUCGGUGUCAGCGGCAGACGGGUGAGUAACACGUGGGAACGUACCCUUCGGUUCGGAAUAACGCUGGGAAACUAGCGCUAAUACCGGAUACGCCCUUUUGGGGAAAGGUUUACUGCCGAAGGAUCGGCCCGCGUCUGAUUAGCUAGUUGGUGGGGUAAUGGCCUACCAAGGCGACGAUCAGUAGCUGGUCUGAGAGGAGGAUCAGCCACACUGGGACUGAGACACGGCCCAGACUCCUACGGGAGGGAGCAGUGGGGAAUAUUGGACAAUGGGCGCAAGCCUGAUCCAGCCAUGCCGCGUGAGUGAUGAAGGCCUUAGGGUUGUAAAGCUCUUUUGUCCGGGACGAUAAUGACGGUACCGGAAGAAUAAGCCCCGGCUAACUUCGUG